UGUCAGAAGGAGAGUACUGCGGUGAGAAACUUAUCAAGUAGUAGCACCUACUUCAUUGGUGUGGAGGAGCAAUUGUGAGGUUAUUGGUAGACUUGUUUAUUGUUUGCCCAUACCAUUAAGUGUACUUGUUUGGUCUCCAAUUGAAUGCUAGGUGAGGAGGGGUUUGAUAUAGAAAAAUAGAAUGCCUUUUAAUGCCAUCUUUCUAGAUUGAUGUGGUUAGGUCUCUAUCACUUUAAGACUCAGAGAUCAUCAGUUUACUCCCUUG
rnacentral:lncRNA from 1 species